GGUCUCGUAGUGUAGCGGUUAACACGCCUGCCUGUCACGCAGGAGAUCACGGGUUCGAUUCCCGUCGAGACCGCCA
rnacentral:tRNA from 1 species